rnacentral:rRNA from 1 species
AUACGUAGGGGGCGAGCGUUGUCCGGAAUGAUUGGGCGUAAAGGGCGCGUAGGCGGCGCGGUAAGUCUGGAGUGAAAGUCCUGCUUUCAAGGUGGGAAUUGCUUUGGAUACUGCCGCGCUUGAGUGCAGGAGAGGUUAUCGGAAUUCCCGGUGUAGCGGUGAAAUGCGUAGAGAUCGGGAGGAACACCAGUGGCGAAGGCGGGUAACUGGACUGCAACUGACGCUGAGGCGCGAAAGUGUGGGGAGCAAACAGGAUUAGAUACCCUGGUAGUCCACACCGUAAACGAUGAAUGCUAGGUGUAGGGGGUAUCGACCCCUUCUGUGCCGCAGUCAACACAAUAAGCAUUCCGCCUGGGGAGUACGGCCGCAAGGUUGAAACUCAAAGGAAUUGACGGGG